AUGUUUCGUAUUAUACCAGUGAUCGCAGCUUCCUGUUUUGAUUUACCUGGUUUACCAGUGGAAUUGUGGAUAACUAUUUUGAGAUUGUUAGAUCCAAAAUCUCUUCUAGCGACAACAAGAGCAGAUGUAAGGUGGAGAAAUAUUUGUUUGGGUGAUUGUAUUUUGAGAAACAGACUACAAGAGAUCUUGAAAAUGGAAAGACGAUUCGCUUUAGACACGAUAAUAGAUCCUAGAAAAUCCGUUUCGACCACUAGAGAUAAUUCGGAAAAAACAGUAUUCACAGCUAAUAUCGCCAAAAAGAAAAUGAUAUACUGUCAGUCGGUUUGUGAGUUAUUUGGUGCGAACAUUCUUAUCUCUGGUAUCAUUAGAGAAAUGUCUAAUAGUGAAUAGUAUUUAGAAGAUUUGUCUUGUACACCGCCAGAGAUUCUAAAAUUAGCGGCUAGCUCUACAGCAAAUCUACAUAACAAGUCAAAAGAUUGUUGGAUCCAAAAUCUCUUCUAGCAACGACAAGAGCAGAUGAAUGAUGGAAAAAUAUUUGUUUGGACGUGUUUUAAGAAAUAGACUACAAGAAGCCUUCAAAAUGGAAAGACGAUUCGCUAUAGACACGAUAAUAGAUCCUAGAAAAUCCGUUUCGACCACUAGAGAUAAUUCUAAAAAAACAUAAUUCACAGCUAAUAUCGUCAAAAAGAAAUUGGAGGGUUCUUUUAAUCUAGGAAAAUCUAUUGAUAUUUUGAAAAUAAAACCUGAGAAGUUGAAAAAUAAGAAGAAAAUGGAACAUAAAAAGAUAUUUAUAAGUUGUAGAAUAUAAAAUAUAAGUCAACUUAUUAUUAUUGUAUAUUAUUAUAUUUUCAAAAAAUCGAUCCAUUGUUGUUAACAACUCGUAAUAUAUAUUGUUAAUAUAACAUUUUAAUAAUAUGCAAUUGUGGAUUUACUAGCAAACCGCAUAGUCGGUAGCUAGUACGAGGAAUGUCAAGGG